UUAGCAGGCUGUGGGAACGCCCGUGAAGGCUCAGGCCGUAAACGGGAGGAAAGUCCGGGCAUGAAAAAGCGAAGAGCCGGCGAAUAACCGGGGACGCAAGUCACGGAAAGUGCCGCAGAAAACAAACCGCCGCAAGGCAAGGGUGAAAAGGCGGGGUAAGAGCCCACCGCGGAACAUAUAAGUGUUCCGGCAUGGUAAACCCCUCUUCAUGCAAGGGCAAGCAGUACGUUUCGUCCGCUUUACGGUUGACGUACGGGUAGCCCGCGGGACCGCCCAAAGGGCGGCUAGAUGGAUGUCCCGAUAACAGAACCCGGCUUACCAGCCUGCUGUUUUU
rnacentral:RNase_P_RNA from 2 species